GAUGAAGAACGUAGUGAAAUGCGAUAAGUAAUGUGAAUUGCAGAAUUCAGUGAAUCAUCGAAUCUUUGAACGCAUCUUGCGCUCCUUGGUAUUCCGAGGAGCAUGCCUGUUUGAGUGUCAUUUUAACUUCUCAACCAUAUCGAAUUGUUUUUCGAGGUGGAUUGGACAUGGGGGUUUUUGCAGGCUUUAAUAAUGAAGUCGGCUCCUCUGAAAUGCAUUAGUGGUAUCUGAAGCAGAACUGCUACUAUUAGGUGUGAUAAUUAUCUAUGCCUCUUGGUAUACUGCAUGAACAGAUUGCGCUGCUUCCAACUUGUACACCCUUUGGUGUUUGACAAAUUUGACCUCAAAUCAGGUAGGACUACCCGCUGAACUUAAGCAUAUCAAUAAGCGGAGGA
rnacentral:misc_RNA from 1 species